GCCGGGCAUGGUGGUGCAUGCCUGUAAUCCCAGCUACUCGGGAGGCUGAGGCAGGAGAAUCGCUUGAACCCAGGAGGCAUAGGUUGCAGUGAGCCGAAAUUGUGCCAUUGUACUCCAGCCUGGGUGACAGAGUGAGACUCCAUCUCAA
rnacentral:SRP_RNA from 1 species